rnacentral:lncRNA from 1 species
UGACACAGCGGUGAGAUGCUGGGGAGAGAGAGCGAGUUUCAAAAGGACAAAGGUUUUAUUGGGGCCUAGGGGCAGUUGGUGAGGUAAUGGCUGUGGCCUCAGCCGAUUGGCUGGGGAGGGGUCCGAGUCCUCUUAAGCAGGUGAGGGGGAGGUUACUCAAGGGGAGGAGGCGUGGUCAAGGUGAAGGACACAGAACAAGAUGGAGUUGGCCGGCGUAGGCCCACCCUUUCAGGUGUGUGCUUUCACCUCACUCUCUUUCCCUCUUCUCCCCAGAUUGCUUAUGAUGACAGUGCUGGAGGACAUCAUGACGUUGAAAGAGUCUGUUUCCCCCAAUCAUCUUGUGGAGGAAAAGCAACUCUGGAGACCAUGCAGGAGAAGGAGUGGUAUCCCAUGACUGCAUCACUAGAGAGAGAGAGAAAGAGAGAGAGAGAAUAAAAGAAUAAUAAAAAAAAAGAACA